rnacentral:lncRNA from 1 species
GCAGAAUAUUGUCAUUUAACUCAACAUAUCAAUGUGUUAUUUUGACACACAAAAACAUUAAAAAAUAGGGUCAUGUUUUAUAUCACUUCAAAUAACUGUACUGGCUAGAGAUUUGUUAACGGUGACGUUUAAGUGCAUGUCAGAAAGUGACAUACAAAUACAUUUAUUGCAAAAAUGACAGAUGUAUUCUUGAAUCCAUUUAAAUUGUUCAUGUUGAUCUGUUUAUUGUAAAAAGCAGAAAGUUUGUACAUUUUGUCAAUAAACCUAAUUUGCAAUGGGGGUGCGAUAAUUUUAAGUGCAAAUGUCAAUCCUCCCUGGAUCCCCAUAAAACAAACUGACACAAUUAUGGUUUGCUUUCUUCAGAGUCCACAGGACACCGACCACAUGUACAGCAAGAGGCCUUACAGCUUUCCACCCAGAGAGCAUGUUAAUGUGAGUGAAGAUUAACCCAAGAGAACAACAUAUCCAGUGUUCACAGCUGUGCACUAAGCCAUGACUUUGUGUGUCUUGAUUAAGGACUAUAAUGACAGCAUGGACUAACAUGAUGUGGUCACCACAACCAGAGACGUUGGGAUCCUGAGUGAAGACGCAUCUUUCCACAGGCUUGUGGUGAGGACAUGCAAAGGAUCAACAAACAACAAAUCUUAUUUGAUAUACUUAACCAGAAUAAUUAGGUUUAACAUCUGAAUGCUGUUUGAUCAAAUUUUAGGAAAGGGCUCAGCAAGCUGAACACCAUAGAAGAGUCACUAGUGACCUUCAUGUAACGUUCAUCACUCAGGAUAACGGUCUGCUGCAACAUCUUGAAGCGGUCAUCACAUGAAAAGUUGCAUCCUCCUGGGCAACAUCAAAGUGCAGGGUGAUCAUCUUUGAGGAGGAUGAGCAGCUGGACAGAGUGCUGGGCUUCUUCACAAGCCUGGUUGAAGCACAGACAACCAGGUGUCACAAUCACGUGGCAUUUGUUAUGGAUGUGCUUCUGCCAGAGGCAACAGUCCACGCCCUUUCAGCUGUCCAUGCAUGUUCCAUUGACAGAGCCACAGAAGUGUAUAAAUGUGGACUGCAGUAUGACUUGAGUGAAAAACGGCUGUUGGCUCAUUACAUGACAAACAACAUGAGCAAGGAGGCAAAACAGCAACUAGAAAAAUAUGCUGAAAAACUCAGAAGAGCUCUGGACUCUGAGGAGCUUUUAAAGAGGCUUUAGUAUGUAUGUACGGUGAAUUAAAAAAUAGUCUGUGAAAUGAUAAUGUUUUAUUUUAUUGCCAAUAAAAGUUGUUGCUGGCUAAUUCAUUUGUCUCAACUUUUGUGUUUUGAGGUACAUAUUUUAAAGACCUGUGUAUGGUCAUAUUUAUAAAUACAUAAAUACAUUUUAUUUGUGUCAAAGGGCCAGCAGUCUUUUCUGUUAACCCAUAAGAAAUCAUCACCUUAGAGUGAUAAUUAUGGCAUCUGAUGUAGUAGGCCAAGCUCUGUGACAGUGUGGCUCUUACAAAAACGGCUGGUGGAAACAACAUUUUAAUCGAAAUGACUACUACUAAUUAUUAUUAUUAUUACUGUAAAUAUUUUAUUUUAUUGAGUUUAAAAUAACCUUGUGCACAUACAUUAGUCACUUAUAUAAAAAAUGAAAAGAUGCAUGCACCAGAUUUAGCAGGCCUAUCUAAUCUUUUAUCAGAUUAAUCUUUUAUCCCAAUCUUUUAUUUUUUUU